AACUCAGAUCGAUCGCAAAGGUGAGGCUAGGGUUUCGUAGCUAAGAGAUCAAUCAAUUUGCUGAUUUCAAAACAAAAUCGUUCAUCGAUCCUUUCACCAGACACCAAGAUGCUAUCCAAGUUGAAAUUGUAUGAAUAAAAAUGUUAGACACCGAGACAUAUUAAAAAAAUGAAGAUUGAAGAUUGAUUGUCACUUGGAGAGUUCUGGGAUGUUAAAAAGAGUUGUCGGCUGAGAUUGAUUUCCACAUAGAAGUCCAACACAAUCAUUGAAAUGAAGAUUUACUUGGAACGAAAUAUUAGUAAUAGAGACCGAGUACUCUCUACAGAGUAACAGAGGGACAGGAGACAUGAGACAUAAACGAUUUAUAGAAAAGCUCAGGUAGAUGAAUCGGGAAGAACAUAGAGAUGAGCAAAGGGAAGACACGCUAAUCACUUAGUGGAAGUGUGUUCUCAGGUGUAUAUGAUUGUCUCAUAAGUUUUGCUUAUCUUUGUAUACAACCAUUAUGUAAUGAUAUUUUUCGUUUUUAAAUGUAUUGCAUGAUAUUGGAUGUUCUGAGAAACAAAUUCCAGGAAUCGAGCUGCGUAAGAAGACAACAAAAUGGACUGGAAAACAGACUUUUAACAGGGCAAGGUAAUUAGGUAUCAUAACACGGAAAAGUAGGACAGUCUAGCAUAAGUUGUUAACUUAAAAAACCCCGCCUUAAGUUUAGAAGUUUAGCUUUUACUUAUCUUGUGUGAUGCAAAUCAGGGUUUA